rnacentral:rRNA from 1 species
AUUGAACGCUGGCGGCAGGCCUAACACAUGCAAGUCGAGCGGGGUUUUCGGACCUAGCGGCGGACGGGUGAGUAAUGCGUAGGAAGCUGCCCGAUAGAGGGGGAUACCAGUUGGAAACGACUGUUAAUACCGCAUAAUGUCUACGGACCAAAGUGUGGGACCUUCGGGCCACAUGCUAUCGGAUGCGCCUACGUGGGAUUAGCUAGUUGGUGAGGUAAUGGCUCACAAAGGCGACGAUCUCUAGCUGGUUUGAGAGGAUGAUCAGCCACACUGGAACUGAGACACGGUCCAGACUCCUACGGGAGACAUCAGUGGGGAAUAUUGGACCAUGGGCGCAAGCCUGAUUCAGCCAUGCCGCGUGUGUGAAGAAGACCUUCGGGUUGUAAAGCACUUUCAGCGAGGAGGAAGGGUGGUGUGUUAAUAGCACAUCAUUUUGACGUUACUCGCAGAAGAAGCACCGGCUAACUCUGUGCCAUCCGCCGCCGUAAAAC